CAGACACGGGGAGAACAUACAAACUCCACACAGAAAGGUCCCACCCCUCGUCAACUGGUGUUGGAAUCGAACCCAGGACCUUCUUUCUGUGAGGUACAAGUGCUAACCACUGUACCACCAUGUUGCCGCUCUUCACCAUAAACAGUCCAAUUGGUUACGAACAGAGUUGGUUGGUCACUCGGGCGUUUUCGGAAAUUUGUCGCAACAUGCAUUGUGAGAAGCGGAGUUCCACGCAGCCACUGUAGUAAGAGGCAAUGAAGCUGUUUCGUCACCAAUCUGUCAUCAGAUCUGUAAAACCUGAGUCAUUGCCUAAGUAUCACAAAUUCGUAAGUCUUUUUGUGAUUACGCACCUGAGUGUCUUCCCUCACGGUGAACAGUUUCGAAAUGUACUUCACCAUAAACAGUCCAGUUGGUUACGAAUAGAGGUGGUAGUUCACGCAGGCCUUUUCGGAAAUUUGUCGCAAUGUGCAGUUUGAGAAGCGGAGUUCUGUGCAGCCGCAGUAGCAAGAGGCAAUGAAGCCGUUUCCGCUGCGGCCAAAUGCGAAUGGGUCAAAACACAGUCAUGUCCCGUCAGAGAGCGAAAUUUAAUUGAUUGCCAUUCCAACAUUCAUUUCAAUAUAAAGUAGCUCCUUGUUUUAGAUAAUCCCUCAUAAUCCAACUAACACAAAAAUGAAUUUAAAAGUAAAAAUGUGGGUCAUUUAUUUGUAUUUUGUAUUUAUUUAUUUAGUUACAGGACAGUAUGUAUUGGCAUUAGUUACAGAGAACAAGAUGGAUACACCAGAUUUAGCAGAGAAGCUAAUUUCCAUCUGUUGUCCUGGACAAACGACUAACAUAACAAAACAUCACUUAGAUUGCAAAGUCAUAAUAUAGUGGAAGAAGACCGUUAAACAUGACAGGUACAGGAAAGUCUGCUCAGAUUGAACGGCUUCAGCCAAAUACAAAACACGGAGCUUACAUUCUAAAAAUACACUAACUUACCUAGAGCAAGAGUAAGAUAUAAAAGAUAGAAUGAGAAGGAGAGAAGAAGAGAGAGAGAAGGAAAAAAAGAGAGCAAGAAGAAUAAACAAAUAAACAGAUAAAUAAGCUAAUUGUGCAAUUGCAAACCAGACAUAGAAAAAAGUACAAGUAAAAGCUAUUGGGCUGAAAACUUAGCAACACUACAACACAACAAAAACUUCAGCAACACUAAUCUGUCAAAUUGUCUCUAAAAUGUCCCAUCAGAGAGCUUUCAAAUACCAUGUUUUGACCCAGCUACAGAUGGAUUGUUUAUGGUUGAGUACACUUCGAAAUUGUUCACCGUGAGGGAAGAGAUUCAGGCGCAUAAUCACGGAAAGACUUACAGAUUCGUGAUAGAUUUGACGAAAAACUGGCGACGAAAGUCAUACGUAGCCAGUUUUUCAUCAGAUCUAUCAAAAAUCUAUCGCUUCAUUGCCUCCGCUUCUCGCAGUGCACGUCAUGACAAAUUUCCGAAAAUGCCUGAGUGACCUACCGCCUCUGUUUGUAAACAAAUAGACUCUUUAUGGUGGAGUACACUUCAAAAUUGUUCACCGUGAGGGACGAGAUUCAGGUGCAUAAUCACGGAAAGACUUCCAGAUCCGUGAUAGAUUUGACGAAAAACUGGCGACUAAAGUCAUACGCAGCCAGUUUUUCAUCAGAUCUAUCAAAAAUCUGUCGCUUCAUUACCUCCGCUUCUCACAAUGCACGUCAUGACAAAUUUCCAAAAAUGCCUGAGUGACCUACCGCCUCUGUUUGUAAACAAAUAGACUGUUGAUGGUGGAGUACACCUCGAAAUUUGUCAGUGUGAGGGAAGAGAUUCAAAUGUGUAAUCACAGAAAGACUUAUGGAUUCGUGAUUUGAUGAAAACCUGGUGACAGAAGUCAUACGCAGCCAGUUUUUCAUCAAAUUUAUCACAAAUCUAUCGCUUCAUUGCCUCUCGCUACUUCAGCUGUGUAGAACUCCUUUUCUCACAGUGCACAUCGUGACAAAUUUCCGAAAAUGCCCGAGUGACCUACCGCCUCUGUUUGCAAACAAAUGGACUGUUUAUGAUGGAAAUUGAGGGAAGGGAUUCAGGCGCAUAAUCACGGAAAGACUUACAGAUUCGUGAUAGAUUUGACGAAAAACUGGCGACGAAAGUCAUACGUAGCCAGUUUUUCAUCAGAUCUAUCAAAAAUCUAUCGCUUCAUUGCCUCCGCUUCUUGCAGUCAUGACAAAUUUCCGAAAAUGCCUGAGUGACCUACCUAAACAAAUAAACUGUUUAUGGUGGAGUACACUUCGAAAUGGUUCAGUGUGAGGGAAGAGAUUCAGAUGCGUAAUCACGGAAAGACUUACAGAUUCGUGAUAGAUUUGAUGAAAAACUGGCAACGAAAGUCAUACGCAGCUUUAAGUAUCAGUAUUCACCAGCAGUAUUAUGUGAGUAAAAUAAAAGGGUAUUUUGUUACAGGUUCCACAAAGCUGACAUCGGAGGUUAUCGGUUCAUGGUAACAAUAUGUUUACAUUCAGAACCUUUCUGGUUGAGACACAAAAGGUUUUCAAACUUUCCCUUAAGUCUGUUGCACAAUCAUUUAUAUCCCACUACAGUUACUGCUCUGAGAAUUUACAUACAAGCUGAUUAUAUUAACCUCCAUAAUCUCAUUUCUGAGUAGUUUUUUGCACCUGUCUUUACAAACUGUGAAAUAUUGGUUCCCGAUUUAGAACAUUUGUACUUGCUGCUAAAAUGUUUGAUUUUUUUUUUUGUUAACAUAAAGUAAAACACAUAUAAAUGCUACAUUGAGACAGUAUUCUGUGAUGCCAUUAUUUUUUUGUUUAGCAUACUUGCAUUGUUUGUGACUAGUUGGUUGAUAUAAUAUGACUCAGUUGAAAAGGCCUCUGAAACAGUUUAAUCAGAUGAAAUCUCCUUCGACCGUCGGCUGUUUCUUUUACCCAUAGACGUGACUAUUCCUGCCUUCGUUGUUGCUGUCUAGCCAUGAAAUUGUAUCACUUCUUAUUCGUUUGAAGGGAUAUGUUCAUGUACUUUCGUAUGACUUGUAUUUCAUAUGGUUUUAUUGUGAAUUCUCUUGAUUGUCCAGCAUGUUUUGCCAUAAUGUGUAGUGUCUAACUUUAUCUUUCAUAUAUUUGCCAUAACUGUAACGUACUGUAUUGCACAAUGCCAUAUACUGCACACUUAUUGUUUUGUAACAUUUUGUCUUUUGUUGUACAACCUCGUAGUACAUCUUGGCACUUUGCUUUUAUGUAUAUUUUAUUUUCAGUAAUCCGUUGGUUAAAACUGGACGGCAUUUUGUUUUUGCCUUCGACCUUAGAUUUAACACCUGUUGCUUAUUGAUAAUUUCUUUUAUCUUGUCAACAAAAUAUGGGAAAUGCAAAGGUUAAACACUAAUGGGUGUUGUGUUUCUUUUCCUUUCUGUGUACAAAGCAGUCCCAAGAAAUGACUUCUGUAUAACAUUAAAUAAUUACAGUAAA